UACGAAGGGGGCUAGCGUUGUUCGGAAUUACUGGGCGUAAAGCGUGCGCAGGCGGCUUCUCAAGUCAGGGGUGAAAGCCCAGAGCUCAACUCUGGAAUUGCCUUUGAGACUGAGUGGCUUGAGUACGGGAGAGGUGAGUGGAAUUCCCAGUGUAGAGGUGAAAUUCGUAGAUAUUCGCAAGAACACCAGUGGCGAAGGCGGCUCACUGGCCCGGUACUGACGCUGAGGCACGAAAGCGUGGGGAGCAAACAGG
rnacentral:rRNA from 1 species